rnacentral:rRNA from 1 species
UACGAAGGGGGCUAGCGUUGUUCGGAAUUACUGGGCGUAAAGCGCACGUAGGCGGAUCGUUAAGUGAGGGGUGAAAUCCCAGGGCUCAACCCUGGAACUGCCUUUCAUACUGGCGAUCUAGAGUCCGGAAGAGGUGAGUGGAACUCCUAGUGUAGAGGUGGAAUUCGUAGAUAUUAGGAAGAACACCAGUGGCGAAGGCGGCUCACUGGUCCGGUACUGACGCUGAGGUGCGAAAGCGUGGGGAGCAAACAGG